AUUGAACGCUGGCGGCAGGCCUAACACAUGCAAGUCGAACGAGUGGCGGACGGGUGAGUAAUGUCUGGGAAACUGCCUGAUGGAGGGGGAUAACUACUGGCAACGGUAGCUAAUACCGCAUACCAUCAGAUGUGCCCAGAUGGGAUUAGCUAGUUGGUGGGGUAACGCCUCACCAAGGCGACGAUCCCUAGCUGGUCUGAGAGGAUGACCAGCCAAACGGGAACUGAGCAACGGUCCAGCUCCCUACGGGAGGAAGCAGUGGGGAAUAUUGGCAAAUGGGCGAAAGCCUGAUGCAGCCAUGCGGCGUGUAUGAAGAAGGCCUUCGGGUUGUAAAGUACUUUCAGCGGGGAGGCGUUACCCACAGAAGAAGCACCGGCUAACUCCGUGCCAGCAGCCGCGGUAAUAC
rnacentral:rRNA from 1 species